UCCGUAGGUGAACCUGCGGAAGGAUCAUUACCGAGUUAGGGUCGCCCCGCGCGCCCGACCUCCAACCCUUUGUCUACCCGACCUUAUUGUUGCUUCGGCAGGCCCGCCGCCCCUCGUGGGUGGCCGCCGGGGGCUUAACAGCCCCGGGCCCGCGCCUGUCGACGGCCCCAACCACAAACUCUUGUACUUAAACGUGUCGUCUGAGUUAACAAACAAAAUAAAUUAAAACUUUCAACAACGGAUCUCUUGGUUCUGGCAUCGAUGAAGAACGCAGCGAAAUGCGAUAAGUAAUGCGAAUUGCAGAAUCCGUGAGUCAUCGAAUCUUUGAACGCACAUUGCGCCCUCUGGUAUUCCGGAGGGCAUGCCUGUUCGAGCGUCAUUAUCACCCCUCAAGCCCGGCUUGUUGUUGGACGCGGCGGCGCCUUUGCGCCCCGCCCGUCUCAAAGAUAAUGACGGCGUCUGCGAGGACCCCUGUACACUGAGCUUUCGGGCACGUACUAGGUGUGGAAUCCAGACCCGGUCACCGUCCCUCAGGGACAAACUUUUAACCAGGUUGACCUCGGAUCAGGUAGGAAUACCCGCUGAACUUAAGCAUAUCAAUAAGCGGAGGA
rnacentral:rRNA from 1 species